rnacentral:sRNA from 1 species
GCUGGAUGUGGUAGCACACACCUGUAAUCCAAGUGGCUCUGGAGGCUGAGGCAGGAGGAUCGCAAGUUCAAGGUUAGUCUCAGCAAUUUAGUUAGACCCUAAGCAACUUGGCAAGACCCUACCUCAA